CCUACGGGCGGCAGCAGUGAGGAAUAUUGGUCAAUGGACGAGAGUCUGAACCAGCCAAGUAGCGUGAAGGGUGACUGCCCUAUGGGUUGUAAACUUCUUUUAUAUGGGAAUAAAGUGUUCCACGUGUGGGAUUUUGUAUGUACCAUAUGAAUAAGGAUCGGCUAACUCCGUGCCAGCAGCCGCGGUAAUACGGAGGAUCCGAGCGUUAUCCGGAUUUAUUGGGUUUAAAGGGAGCGUAGGUGGAUUGUUAAGUCAGUUGUGAAAGUUUGCGGCUCAACCGUAAAAUUGCAGUUGAAACUGGCAGUCUUGAGUACAGUAGAGGUGGGCGGAAUUCGUGGUGUAGCGGUGAAAUGCUUAGAUAUCACGAAGAACUCCGAUUGCGAAGGCAGUUCACUAGACUGCAACUGACACUGAGGCUCGAAAGUGUGGGUAUCAAACAGGAUUAGAUACCCUAGUAGUC
rnacentral:rRNA from 1 species